UAGGGAAUCUUCCACAAUGGACGCAAGUCUGAUGGAGCAACGCCGCGUGAGUGAAGAAGGUUUUCGGAUCGUAAAGCUCUGUUGUUGGUGAAGAAGGAUAGAGGCAGUAACUGGUCUUUAUUUGACGGUAAUCAACCAGAAAGUCACGGCUAACUACGUGCCAGCAGCCGCGGUAAUACGUAGGUGGCAAGCGUUGUCCGGAUUUAUUGGGCGUAAAGCGAGCGAAGGCGGAAUUAUAAGUCUGAUGUGAAAGCACACGGAUCACCCGGGGAACUGUCUCGGAAACUGUCAGUCUUGAGUGCAGAAGAGGAGAGUGGAAUUCCAUGUGUAGCGGUGGAAUGCGUAGAUAUAUGGAAGAGCACCAGUGGCGAAGGCGGCGCUCUGGUCUGCAACUGACGCUGAGGCUCGAAAGCAUGGGUAGCGAACAGG
rnacentral:rRNA from 1 species